rnacentral:rRNA from 1 species
ACAAGGAGCAAUCUGAGGUGGCGACCGGCGCACGGGUGAGUAACACGUAUGCAACCUGCCUGUAAGCGGGGAAUAACCCGUUGAAAGACGGACUAAUACCGCAUAAUACUAAAUUACUGCAUGGUAAUUUAUUUAAACAUUUAUGGCUUACAGAUGGGCAUGCGCAUGAUUAGCUAGUUGGAGAGGUAACGGCUCCCCAAGGCAACGAUCAUUAGGGGUUCUGAGAGGAAGGUCCCCCACACUGGUACUGAGACACGGACCAGACUCCUACGGGAGGCAGCAGUGAGGAAUAUUGGUCAAUGGACGAGAGUCUGAACCAGCCAAGUCGCGUGCAGGAAGAAUGUCCUUAAUGGAUUGUAAACUGCUUUUGCAGGGGAAUAAAGUGCAUCACGUGUGAUGUUUUGUAUGUACUCUGCGAAUAAGGAUCGGCUAACUCCGUGCCAGCAGCUGC